GGAUGCGAUCAUACCAACACUAACAGGAUCCAACCAGAACUCUAAAGUUAAGCGUGUUUGAACUAGAGAAAUACUAGGAUGGGUGGCCUCUUGGGAAGUUCUUGUAUUGCUUCCC
rnacentral:rRNA from 1 species